UACAGAGGGUGCGAGCGUUAAUCGGAAUUACUGGGCGUAAAGCGCGCGUAGGUGGUUUUGUAAGUCGGGUGUGAAAGCCCCAGGCUUAACCUGGGAACUGCAUUCGAGACUGCAUGACUAGAGUAUGGGAGAGGGCAGUGGAAUUUCCGGUGUAGCGGUGAAAUGCGUAGAGAUCGGGCGGAACACCAGCGGCGAAGGCGGCAUCCUGGUCCUGUUCUGACGCUGAGGCGCGAGAGCGUGGGGAGCGAACUGG
rnacentral:rRNA from 1 species